UACAGAGGGGGCAAGCGUUGUUCGGAAUUACUGGGCGUAAAGGGCGCGUAGGCGGCCUUCUAAGUCGAACGUGAAAUCCCCGGGCUCAACCCGGGAACUGCGUCCGAGACUGGAAGGCUUGAAUCCGGGAGAGGGAUGUGGAAUUCCAGGUGUAGCGGUGAAAUGCGUAGAUAUCAGGAGGAACACCGGUGGCGAAGGCGGUUCUCUGGGCAUUACCUGACGCUGAGGAGCGAAAGUGUGGGGAGCAAACAGG
rnacentral:rRNA from 1 species